UGAGGAAUUUUCGGCAAUGGGCGCAAGCCUGACCGAGCAACGCCGCGUGCAGGAGGAAGGUCUUCGGAUCGUAAACUGCUUUUCUGGGGGACGACGAAGCGACGGUACCCCAGGAAGAAGCCCCGGCUAACUACGUGCCAGCAGCCGCGGUAAUACGUAGGGGGCGAGCGUUGUCCGGAGUUACUGGGCGUAAAGCGCACGCAGGCGGUCCGUUGCGUCGGUGGUGACAGUGCUCGGCUUAACUGAGCAAGCGCUGCCGAAACGGGCGGACUUGAGGGCCAGAGAGGGAGACGGAACUCCGGGUGGAGCGGUGAAAUGCGUAGAGAUCCGGAAGAACACCGAAGGCGAAGGCAGUCUCCUGGCUGGUUCCUGACGCUCAGGUGCGAAAGCGAGGGGAGCAAACAGGAUUAGAUACCCGCGUAGUCC
rnacentral:rRNA from 1 species